GCAGGGUAAUAAGAGCAUGUGGUGGAUGCCUUGACUUCGAAAGGCGAUGAAGGACGUGGCGUGCCUGCGAUAAGCCUCGGUGAGGUGGCGAGCAACCGUUGACCCGGGGAUGUCCGAAUGGGGAAACCCCGUGCUGCAAACCAGCACGAGUGCUGCUCUGCAGCAAGUUCGAAAUUAAAAAAUCAAAGUGCAAAAUUUCGGUGUCGCUUCGCGAUAUUUUAAAAUUCGCCGCAGGCGAACACAGUAAUUUUGACUUUUGCAUUUUACAUUUUGAUUUUGCCGCAGGGCGGCACGGCGAACCCGCUGAAGUGAAACAUCUCAGUAAGCGGAGGAAAAGAAAACAAUAAUCUACCAAUUACGAAUCGGAUACGAAUAUACGAAUAAGUAUAUUCGUAAAAGAUUCGUGAUUCGUAGAUAUCAUUCCCUUAGUAGCGGCGAGCGAACAGGGAGAAGCCCAAACCUGACCGUGCCUCACUUUUGUUUGCUUGCCCGCCGUAGUUGCGCCUGACGCGACGAAGGCGGGGAACUUGUCUCUUGGUUAUUGGUUAUUCCGUCCGAGCAUAGCGAGGUGCGGUUAGGGGUUGUAAGGCAAACGCGCUUGUUUAAUCAGGGGAAAUUGCAUGUCUUGGCUAGCAGAAGUGCGUUGGAAAGCGCUACCAGAGAGGGUAAUAGUCCCGUACACGAAAGCCGUUGUGUAAUUUCUUGCGUUUGUUCUUGAGUACCUCGACACACGAAUAGGUCGGGGGAAGCAGGGAAUACUAGUUCCCAAGGCUAAAUACUUUCGAAGAUCGAUAGUGAACAAGUACCGUGAGGGAAAGGUGAAAAGCAGCCCGGUAAGGGCGUUGAAAUAGUACCUGAAACCACAUGCUUACAAGGAGUCGGAGCGUGCGUAGCACUUGGAAAUUCGAAGCACGAAGCACGAAAUUCGAAACAAUAUCAAAAUUCUAAAUUCAAAUGUUUAAAACGUUUUGGAUUUGAGUAUUGAAAUUUGUUUAGGAUUUCGGAUUUCGAAUUUGGGAUUUUCACGCGCUGCGCGCGUGACGGCGUGCCUAUUGAAGAAUGAGCCAACGAGUUUAUUCGUGUUGCGUACUUAAGCCAUACGUGGCGAAGGUGCAGGGAAACCGAGUGUGAAUAGCGCGAAUACCUUUGUUUGCUUGCCCGCCGUAGUUGCGCCUGACGCGACGAAGGCGGGGAACUUGUCUCUUGGUUAUUGGUUAUUCCGUCCGAGCAUAGCGAGGUGCGGUCGGUUGUAGCACGAAUAAGACCCGAAGCCAGGUGAGCUUGCCAUGACCAGGGUGAAGUUCGUCGAAAGACGGAUGGAGGCCCGAACCGUUUGGCCGUGCAAAACCAUCGGAUGAGUUGUGGUAAGGAGUGAAAAGCUAAUCGAACUUGGUAAUAGCUGGUUCUCUCCGAAAUAGCUUUAGGGCUAGCGGCCUGCACGGGAUACGCGGAGGUAGAGCUACUGAAUGGGCUGAACAGGGGGCAACCUCGUCAGUCCAACCAAACUCCGAAUGCCGCGUUUCCAAUCAGGCUAGUCAGACUACGGGGGCAAAGCUCCGUCGGUCGAAAGGGAAACAGCCCAGAUCUCAAUCUAAGGUUCCUAAAUUAUCCCGAUAAUCAUCGGGACUUUGGCUGUAUGUUGUUCUUGUAACAACAUGCGCCGGAGCUGCUCAGUGCAAGGAAGGCGGUGGAGUUUCUCAGACAGCGAGGAGGUUGGCUUAGAAGCAGCCAUCCUUUAAAGAGUGCGUAACAGCUCACUCGUCAAGAGACACUGCACCAAAAAUGAUCGGAGCUAAGCAGUAUACCGAAGGUGAGGGCCGAUGCUUCGCAUCGGAAAUUCCAAUUUCCAACAAACCAAUUUCCAAAUAAUAUCCAAUAAUCAAUGACCAAAAUUCAAAACACGGAACAUGAAGUAUCGUGGUUUGAAAUUUGAGAUUUGUAAUGUGGAAUUUAUUUGUAAUUUGGAUGCUUGUGAUUUGGAGCUUCCGCUGCGGAGCAGCGGCGGUAGGAGAGCGUUCCGUUCGCAGUGAAGCUUCGCCGUGAGGUUGAGGUGGAGCGUACGGAAGUGAGAAUGUUGGCACAAGUAACCGCAAGAGAGGUGAGAUCCCUCUCCGCCGAAAGUCUAAGGUUUCCUUGGCAAUGGUGAUCAUCCAAGGGUUAGUCGGGCCUAAGGCAAUGACGAAAGUCGUAGUCGAUGGACACACGGUUAAUAUUCCGUGACCUCGUAUUGUUGCGAUGGAGUGACGGAGGAAAACAUACAGGGCGCGUUAUUGGAUUCGCGUUAUCAGUCUGAAGAAGCGCUUUUUAGGUAAAUCCGGAAAGCGGCCGCAAGGCAAGCUUCGUGGGCUGAUAAGAUCGCGCUUCGGCGCGGGAUUUUGUAGCAGAGCCUUCCAAGAAAAACUUCUAAGCAUAAACAAUGCGAGACCGUACCGCAAACCGACACAGGUAGACAGGUCGAGAAGACCAAGGCGAACGAGUGAGUCUUUCCCAAGGAACUCGGCAAAAAAGCGGGCGUAACUUCGGGAGAAGCCCUGCCACCGCAUCACACGGGGUGUGAUGCGGAAAUCCUAAACUCGAAAUCUUAAAUCCUAAACAAAUCCCAAUAACUAAGAUUUAAAAUACCGAAUAAUAUAUCCGGAAUUUAAAGCAUUUGAAUUUAGAAUUUGUUUAGAGUUUAGAUAUUGGAAUUUAGAGUUUUCGCUAUCGCGCGUCGCGCGAUGCGGUGGCCGCAGCGAAAGUAUCCCUGGCGACUGUUUAUCAAAAACACAGCUCCCUGCGAACUCGUAAGAGGAUGUAUAGGGGGUGACGCCUGACCAAUGCGAGAAGGUCAAAUACGACCGGUGCUUCGCACCGGAAUUUUCAAGUCCUAAUGUAUAAUUUUCAAAUUUUGGAAAUUGAACAUUGAAAAUUGGAAAUUCCAGCGCGGAGCGCUGGGUUGUAUAAGCCCUCGUCAAUGUCGGCAAUAACUAUAAUUGUCCUAAGGUAGGAAAGCUGCCUUAGUAAAAUUCGGCUAUAUGCUGGAAAGUCUGUGCAUAAAAUGCUGUAGCAUCUGGUACUACUAUGGUAUAAUUAUUCCAUAGAAGAUAUAUGGAGAGGCUCCAUAGUAAAAAUGUAUCUAGUGCAGACAACCAGCAGGAAAGGCCAGAAAUCAAAGGAUGGUUAGUUGGUUUUACUGAUGGUGAAGGAUGUUUUUCCGUUAGUGUGUUCCGAAAUAAGACUGCAAAAUUUGGUUGGCAGAUCUUUCCUGAGUUUGUCAUAACUCAAGGGAUAAAAAGUCUGCCAGCCCUAGAGAAAUUCAAGGCAUAUUUCGGAUGCGGAAACAUCUUUGUGAAUAGACGACACGACAAUCACAACGAAAAUCUGUAUAGAUUCUGUGUAAGAUCAUUAAAAGAUCUGAAUAAUAAGAUUAUUCCAUUUUUUUGCAAGAAUCGCUUACUUACCGCGAAAAUCAAUGAUUUUGACAUUUUCGCGGAGAUUGUUGAAGCGAUGAUAAAAAAGCAGCAUCUGACCAAGUUGGGUAUGCAUAACAUUGCAAAAAAAAUUGAACACAUGAAUAGGAAAAAACCAUCUCGAUUUCUGGAAUCCUCAGAGACUAUACGCCGGACUUCGAUGUAAGAAUCGGAGAAGAUAUAGUCCGAUCUCCAUGGCGACACAGAGAGCGUGGAAGAAAUGAUCACGCCCUUUGUUUAUAGAUUUAUAAACAAAGAGUAACAAAUUAGAGCGUAAUUCCUUGUCUGGUAAGUUCAGACGUGCACGAAAGGCGUAACGACUGGGGAACUGUCUCGGGAAAGAGCUCGGUGAAAAUACAUUACCGGUGAAGAUGCCGGUUACCUGCAGCUAGACGAAAAGACCCCGGAAGCUUUACUAUAACUUGGUAUUGGCGUUAUGUGCUGGAUGCGUAGAAUAGCGGGGAGGCUUUGAAGCUCCGAUCUUGGUCGGGGUGGAGCCGUCAGUGAAAUACCCGUCUUCCAACAGAUAACGUCUAACCUCUGCGGAAAAAACGCACGGGGACAGUGCCUGGUGGGUAGUUUGCGUGGGGCGCGAUCCUCCUAAAAAGUAACGGAGGAGUCUAUUAAGGUCAGCUAGGCGCGGAUGGAAAUCGCGCUGGUCGUGUAAUGGCAUAAGCUGGCUUAACUGCAAGGCGGACAUGCCGCGCAGGCGCGAAAGCGGAGCAUAGUGAUCCGACCGUGGGCACUAGACGCCGCGGAAGCUCAACGGAUAAAAGCUACUCCGGGGAUAACAGGCUAGUCACGCCCGAGCGUCCAUAGCGACGGCGUGGUUCGGCACCUCGACGUGAGACAGGUUGGUCUCCUAUCUGCUGCAGGCGUUGAUGCUUGAGGGGAGUUGUUCUUAGUAAAAUAUUGCUACUUCAGAGAGCAAUCUCUGAUGACAAACCGACUAAUAACGGUGGAAUCUUCAUAAAUUAUUUGAUCUGUGGAUGGUAACAGUUGAUCUCGGUCUAUCAAUUGGUGUACAAUGUGCUUGAGGACCAGAUAAUUUUUUAAGACAAUACCGUGGGAAGUCAAACUCAUAGUGAAGAUCUUGCAUAUAUUUCUGGCUUUUUGGAUGGCGACGGAAGCUUGAUGCUGCAAAUCAAGAAAAGAAAAGACAGCAAACUUGGCUGGAGAUUCAUGUUUACGAUUUGCUUUUAUCAAGAUUCUCGACACGAAAAACCGUUGUAUUGGAUUCGUAAGAGGUUGCAUAUUGGAUAUAUCUCUAGACGCAACGACCACAUCACUGAAUUACGUAUUAAUGGCUACGAGCAAGUUAAGAGGAUUCUCUGCGACCUUUUGCCGUUCAUUCGCUUUAAGAGAAAGCAAGCAAUGGCUAUAGAAAGAGCGGCGGGGAUCUUGAGUAAAAAACCAACUCCAUUGUUGACGAGAAAGAAUCGAUUGCAUAUUGCACAGUGUAUUCUUACAGUACAACAUGAAAAUUAUACUACCAGACAGAAGAAAACAAAAAGCGAGAUUAUGAGGAUAUUAGAUUUGACCCCGUAACGACUUCGAUUUCUUGAUCGAGAUAAGAGUUAAUUGUGCUCUUAUAAUAUGUCGGCCCCGUAAAGAUUUGCAGAGCAAAACUUAAACGGGUGAAGAUAUAGUCUAAGCCUUUAGAAAUAAAGGAGUAACUUGACGAGAGGACCGGAACGAACUGACCUCUGGUGUACCGGCUGUCCUGCCAAGGGCAACGCCGGGUAGCUAUGUCGGGACGGGAUAACCGCUGAAAGCAUCUAAGCGGGAAGCCGACCA
rnacentral:rRNA from 1 species